CGCAAGCCUGACGGAGCCAGACCGCGUGGGGGAGGAAGGCCCUUGGGUUGUAAACCCCUUUUCUCAGGGAAGAAACCUGACGGUACCUGAGGAAUCAGCCUCGGCUAACUCCGUGCCAGCAGCCGCGGUAAUACGGAGGAGGCAAGCGUUAUCCGGAAUUAUUGGGCGUAAAGCGUCCGCAGGGGGCGCAUCAAGUCUGCUGUUAAAGGCUGGAGCUUAACUCCGGUAGAGCAGUGGAAACUGGUGCGCUAGAGGGCGACAGGGGUAGAGGGAAUUCCCAGUGUAGCGGUGAAAUGCGUAGAGAUUGGGAAGAACACCGGUGGCGAAAGCGCUCUACUGGGCCGUGACUGACACUGAGGGACGAAAGCUAGGGGAGCG
rnacentral:rRNA from 1 species